rnacentral:tRNA from 1 species
GGGGAUUUAGCUCAGUGGUAGAGCCUUUGCCUAGCAAGCACAAGGCCCUGGGUUCGGUCCCCAGCUCCA